UACGAAGGGGGCUAGCGUUGUUCGGAAUUACUGGGCGUAAAGCGCACGUAGGCGGAUCGAUCAGUCAGGGGUGAAAUCCCAGGGCUCAACCCUGGAACUGCCUUUGAUACCGUCGAUCUGGAGUAUGGAAGAGGUGAGUGGAAUUCCGAGUGUAGAGGUGAAAUUCGUAGAUAUUCGGAGGAACACCAGUGGCGAAGGCGGCUCACUGGUCCAUUACUGACGCUGAGGUGCGAAAGCGUGGGGAGCAAACAGG
rnacentral:rRNA from 1 species